rnacentral:rRNA from 1 species
UGGGGAAUAUUGCACAAUGGGCGCAAGCCUGAUGCAGCCAUGCCGCGUGUGUGAAGAAGGCCUUCGGGUUGUAAAGCACUUUCAGCGGGGAGGAAGGCGUUAAGGUUAAUAACCUUGGCGAUUGACGUUACCCGCAGAAGAAGCACCGGCUAACUCCGUGCCAGCAGCCGCGGUAAUACGGAGGGUGCAAGCGUUAAUCGGAAUUACUGGGCGUAAAGCGCACGCAGGCGGUCUGUAAAGUCGGAUGUGAAAUCCCCGGGCUCAACCUGGGAACUGCAUUCGAAACUGGCAGGCUAGAGUCUUGUAGAGGGGGGUAGAAUUCCAUGUGUAGCGGUGAAAUGCGUAGAGAUGUGGAGGAAUACCGGUGGCGAAGGCGGCCCCCUGGACAAAGACUGACGCUCAGGUGCGAAAGCGUGGGGAGCAAACAGG